ACUACGGGUGGCUGCAGUGGGGAAUAUUGGACAAUGGGCGAAAGCCUGAUCCAGCCAUGCCGCGUGUGUGAAGAAGGCCUUCGGGUUGUAAAGCACUUUCAGUGGGGAAGAAAGCCUUGGGGCUAAUACCCUCGAGGAAGGACAUCACCCACAGAAGAAGCACCGGCUAACUCCGUGCCAGCAGCCGCGGUAAUACGGGGGGUGCGAGCGUUAAUCGGAAUUACUGGGCGUAAAGCGCGCGUAGGCGGUCUGAUAAGCCGGUUGUGAAAGCCCCGGGCUCAACCUGGGAACGGCAUCCGGAACUGUCAGGCUAGAGUGCAGGAGAGGACGGUAGAAUUCCCGGUGUAGCGGUGAAAUGCGUAGAGAUCGGGAGGAAUACCAGUGGCGAAGGCGGCCUUCUGGACUGACACUGACGCUGAGGUGCGAAAGCGUGGGUAGCAAACAGGAUUAGAUACCCCAGUAGUC
rnacentral:rRNA from 1 species